AUUUUUAUGGCAGUGUGUUUUGUUAAUGUUGGAUUUUUUUUUUUUGGGUUUGUGUGACUAUUAUUUUUUCGUUGUGAUUAUAUGGAUUUCUUUAAUUUGCAUUCAUUACCAGUCAUCUUGUAUAUAGAAGCUGUAUAUGCAUAGCUGCUAUCAAGUAAAGAGGUGUUGCUGGUUAAGCAGUGCCUUGAUGUGUGCAUAUGUCCCAUACUUUGAGUCUGUCCGCAAAAUGAUUGGAUGCUUCCUGAGACCAGCGAUAUUAUCAUGGCAGUUGAAAACUAUAUCGAGUGGGAUAUCUUCCAUAUAGAAUCUUUCUUUUCGUAUUUCGACACAUUUCUUCUAUGCCUCUUUAUAUUUAUUUACAAUGUUUUUAAGUGGCAUUAGUGGGCUAUUUCGCUGGUGAUGUGGUGCUGAGGAUUGCUACUUUUUGGUUUCUCUGCACCUCCCAUACCCAGCAAUAGUAAAAUACCAACUUACCCUAUUACCGGAUGGUAAAAUUGUUGUCAUCCCUGUCAAGGUUGAGCUUGCCAUGGUUCUGGUAUCUGGCUUUAAUCAUCUCUGGUCACCAGACAUAAGUCAGGUAUCCACCUCAAUUCUCGACGGUUGAUACAGUUACAAGUCUGGAAAAUUGAGUGUGUCCAUCGUUGGGGAAAUGAUGAUGCUUUUGAAGCUCAUUUCUGCUCCAUUUGGGCCCUAUAUG